rnacentral:piRNA from 1 species
UGAGAUGCACUGUCGAGCUCUGAUGC